AGUUGAUUCCUAUCCUUCCUCGAUUGUCCUCUCUCUCAGCAGUUUUGUAACAGGGAAAUCAUUUCCUCUUAUUUGUUAAUGAAUCUUAAAUGGAAGGGUCUAGGGCCUGCCGGUUUCAUUUCUCAGUCUGUGUUUCUUCCAGGGCCUGACGGACUGGAAUGUUUCAGUAAAUGUUUCAUCCCACAAACAUUUAGUUCAUCAGAGAGAGAGAAAGAGAGAGAGAUGAGCACAUGGGACCCUUGUCCCAGGAACGUGUCUUCUUCCAGAGUUCUUUACAGGUCUUCCAUUUCUGUGAAUCAGCGAUGUGGAAAACCCAGGCCUCAGAAAAAUUAAGGGAGGCUUGAAGUGAGCAAAGCAGAGCAGAGUGUUGGCAGGAGCUGAGGGCUGCCACAGCGGGAAAAUCAAGCAAUGCGUCAUCUAGGAGAACUCGUGGUGCUGUCUGCCUCCUCUCAGCUGCAUCCACACCGGCUGGGACAGUCAGAUCACUGUGACUUGGGCAGAGAUGAAAACAUGCAGCAUAGCCAGGGUAUUAUAGAGGUGUGUGGUGUCAGGACGGCCUGUGCCAGCCUCAUUUACUUUUCUGAGUCAUUUGAACAAAGCAGUUGUUGGGCUAACCUUGCUGUGACGAGAAUCCACAACAAAUCCAAAAGCCUCUGCCCCCACCGCCUUGGCCCCGCAGCACAGCGCGGUCGUCUUUUCAGUGGCGUGAGCCUCAUUACAUGGCGAUUGUUGGAUGAACUGUCCCUUCUCUCGCCCAGAGCUCCUCCAGGCAGGAAUCUUGGCCCAGUUUCUUCUAUGUCUCAGAGGCCUGGCACUGGGCUCGGCAUUUAGUAGAUGUACCUGAAUUCCAGGACUUUUAAAAAUGAAAAGAUAAAUGAGGAAAAUAUGCCCUGGUCUCCUAUCAUCUAACCUUGAAGAGAGCGACUCAUUUCCUCAUGUGCAAGUUAUCACUUCCUCUGGAUAUCCUGUCCAACACUCCUCUUGUGUACCAACAUACCAUCUCAAGGGAAAAUUAUGUUCAUGAUAAUUCCCACAUGCCAUGAAAAGUAAUUUCCUGCUAAGAAACUGCUGGUGAUGGGAGUUCUUAAU
ensembl:lncRNA